rnacentral:misc_RNA from 1 species
AACGCACCUUGCGCUCUUGGGCUAUUCCUAAGAGCAUGCCUGUUUGAGUGUCUUGAACUCCUCAACCCCAGUCAGGUUUGAAAUCUGACUGGUGGCUGGAUUUGGAGGCUUGUGGGCCGUUUCAAUUCGGUCUGCUCCUCUUGAAUGCAUUAGCUUGGACUUGUUCCUAAGGCUUCAUGGCGUGAUAACUAUCUACGCUUUGGUCUGUCUGCGGAAUCACUAUGGGUCUUGCUUCUAAUCGUCCUUUGGACAACAUUUCAAACUUUGACCUCAAAUCAGGUAGGACUACCCGCUGAACUUAA